GUUUCCAAGGAACUUACUAGUUGCCCAGUGAGAAGGGCACAGACAAAUUACUGCGACGCAGUGUGACUGGCACUACAAAUGGCCGGUUGUGGGCUGCCCUGUGCAUCCUUUGUGAGAGAGAAGGCCAGCCCUGGACUCCUCUGGCCCUGGCAUGGCUGCUCCCCGAGAUGGAAGAAGGUGAACUUGCAUGGGCCUCACCCGUCCCGUGAGAGCGGUGUGGGAAAGCUCACCCCACACCCUGGUUCCCAGAGAAGCAGACCGAGGCUUAGAGAUGAAGCCAUGUGUCAAGGUCAGGCGGUGAGUAAACCCCAGAGUCAGAUGUGCCAGGUUUUAAUGCCUGUUCUUUUCACGACUUUAUGUUGCCUGCAGUAAAAGCUUCUCAGAGCAAACAGGUAGGGCUGUUGGUUAAGUUCAAGCCAGGGUUGAGGUGGAAAUAUAUACAAGAGUGAUGAGUGCCCUGUUGGAGACUUUGCUGUGGCUUUACCAGCCAGCCCUCAGAAUCAAACCCACCCAGAGCCAGUUGAAAGCAGCCUGGAUCGUACUGAGCCAACAACCAUGGGAACGCCUCUCUUGCUGGCUUCCUUGACAGCAGAACAAGUUGGGAAUGAAGAACCAGGAAGCCACCGGGAGAAGAUUUUGCUACCGGGACUGUUUCCUGGAAUGCUACAGUCAUAUAAGGCUCAAACACAUUACCGGGGCAGUGGUAAAACGAGAACGGUUGUGGGACAAAGAAUACAUUGUUAAGCUGCAGCGUGGCACAGUUAUGGCCCGGAGCACCAGGUUAAAGGAAACUGACCUGGAGGAUUGGCUGGCACUGUUGGUAUACAGCGCCAGCCAAUCACAGGCUACGACCCCGAUCCUGAGAAACUUGCUGGGUUCCUGCCCUUUGAUUCAGAGAAAGCAGCUUUCCUGCUAGGGCAGACUCCCUCCCCCACAGAAAAUAAAAUAAAGUCAAU